rnacentral:piRNA from 1 species
UGUAAAGAAAGCCACCAUGU